GACGUAGGGCGCAAGCGUUGUCCGGAUUUAUUGGGCGUAAAGAGCUCGUAGGCGGCUCGUUGCGUCGGCUGUGAAAACCCGCAGCUCAACUGUGGGCUUGCAGCCGAUACGGGCGGGCUGGAGUUCGGUAGGGGAGACUGGAAUUCCUGGUGUAGCGGUGAAAUGCGCAGAUAUCAGGAAGAACACCAAUGGCGAAGGCAGCUCUCUGGGACGGUACUGACGCUGAGACGCGAAAGCGUGGGGAGC
rnacentral:rRNA from 1 species